UUGCAGGGCUUUUCCCCUCACCCAACCCCUUCGAGUCCUCCGCGGGCUCCGCCCCACCCGGCCCGUGGGGGAGGUUCCGUCCCGCCGCCUUCGCCCGCGCGCUGCACUCGCGGACGAUCUCUGCUCGCCUUGGGCGCGCCAUGGCGCGCGGGGCUGCGCUGGCGCUGCGGCUCCUCGGCCUGCUCCGCCGUCUGGUGGCCGCCCCGGGCUGACUUUGACUUAGCGAUGCCUUUCGUGAUGGAGGAAACAGUGACCCAGCACCACCUAAUGCCCCCAAACCAAAGCCAGAUCCAAACCCCAACCGACCUGGUUUCACUGGGGCUGACUUUGACUUAGCAGAUGCCUUUGGUGAUGGAGGAAACAGUGACGCAGCACCACCUAAUCCCCCCAAACCAAAGCCAGAUCCAAAUCCCAACUGACCUGGUUUCACUGAUAAGAGCCUCUAACCCUAUGGGGUGGUCUCUAUGUUGUUUACCUGGCAGUGAUGUCCGUGUCAUCUGAGAAGAGGAGAUUUCAGGUGAGCCUGUUCCUACUGUUGAAUUACAAGGUAGUUCCAGUGUUCAAGUAGUGGAAAACCUAGAUUACAAAAAUAUGAUUUUGGUUUGGAUUUUAUUUUCCUUUUCUUGAUUUUACUUCAAAGAUAAAUGGAACUUCCAAAUAAUUGAAUAAGAGCUUUUAGAUGUAGACUUGAUAUGAGGAAAAGAAUCUGUGUGUUUCCCGUGGAGAAGCCAACUUGUUUUAAACAAUCAGAUUUUGACUGAGUGUUUUUCUUUACAUGUUUGUUUAAUUUUUAACACAGAAAUCUAUCAAGAUGGUCUAAAUCCUGUUGACAUUUUUAUGGUUUUUUGCUGGUUAUGUUAUUAUUGGCAUAACAAUAUUACUUGACCAUUUUCUCAUAUUUAAUCAUUUGUAUCAUACGACUUUACAUUAUUAUACUACAGACUUAAUUACAUACUUUGGUUUCUUUAACUAAUCCCUAAUUCUGAAGUUAUGUUUCUUCUGAUGUUUUGGAAUUAUCAAUUACAAAGCAAAUUUGACUGCCCUUCAUGCACUUUCCUUUAUGUUUGGAGAUAUAUUUCUAGAGUGCAGGUUGUUUACAUCGAUGUGUGUGAGUACUUUUGUAGCUUCUGACAUGGUUUUGAAAUUGCCCCAGAAUUGCACCAAUUUAUUCUGAUGGCGGCGGGGUGUGCAGAUGACCCUUUCCUCACACCGUCUCCGAUAUUGGUGUUCACCAAAACAUCUUUAUCCAGUAGUGCAAAAUGUCAUGCUAACCUUGUCUUAGUUUCACGUCUUUAAUUCUGAAACUUGAAACAAAAACAAUGCAUCAGUGGGCCAUGGAGACUUCUUCUGUGUAUGGGAUACUGUGUCUUUUAUUCUUCUCUUCUGGUAUGUCCUCCCUUAUUUCUACUCAUUUUUGAAUUAUUUAUAGACAGUAAACAUUGCCCAAUAUAUUAUGAAAAUGUGUUUCCACUUUAUUGUUGCCUCUGAAAACAUUUUGAACAGAAGCUUUUAUAAGCAAGGCUUGAAUUUUUCUUUUUUAUGUUGUCUUAGGUUUGUGUGAGUUUCCACCUUUGUGUAACACAUUUUUCCUGUUAACAGAACCAUUUUAUCACUGUCUCUCUUCCUUCUUGGGAAAAAGAAAACCAUCUUUUUCUUUUCAUUUGAAUUACUUACAACGAUGAAUUGAUUUAUAGAGUGCUAAAAUAUUUGUAAAAUCGAGCAGAUUCUUCUGUGUGCCUUUUUCUCCUGGUGAUUUAUUUAAAUGGAUUUCUAAGGUGUUUUCCCGUCAGUAUCGAUUUGUUUUGGUGAGUACGAUUUUAUGUGCGCUAUUUGUCUCUCUAUUUCUGAACUGUAGCAACAUUUUUGUGCAUUCUCUCUCACUCUCCACUGAAUGAUGAACCCUUGUGAACUUCCAAUUGUUUUCUCUUCAUUUCUUAAUGUUUCUAAGAAGACCGACAUAUUAUUUGUAAGUGAUUUUAAAAUUUGUCUCCUUUUCUAUGUUUUUUCGUUGUCUUCAGAGUGCAUUCGUAUUUUCGUUGAAUUGGCUUUGCUAGAGAACACAUGAUGGCUUUAAGUAUGAGUGAAUAGAGUAGACAUUUUUUAUUCCUGACAUCAAGGUAAAAACCUAAAGAGGUUCACCUGUAAAUAAAAUAAAUUGUCUUUACAAAACCAGACACUCAUUCCAAGAAGAUCUCUCUGUUCUAGUAUACUUUUUUUUGUAAACAUACAAUAGUAUAGGUUCUCAUACUGUGAGACUUCUUAUUUCUUUAUACACAAUAUAUUUGAAAAAUCAUUGGUUUUUUAGUGAUUACUAAUGUACUGUUACAUGGUUUUGAAAAGUGUUGGAUCAAAGUUUCCUUCAUUUAAGCCUCUUUUUUCCCCCUUCCCCAUAUAAAAAGUUCAUGAUGGCCAGGAAUAGAGGUUCACACAUAUAAUCCCAGCACUUUGGGAGGCUGAGAUGGGACCAUCUUUUGAGCCCAGGAGUUCAAGACCAGCCUGGGCAACAUAGCAAAACCCCCUCUCUACAAUGAAAUGAAAAAUUAGCCAGGCAUGGUGGCACAUACCUGCUGUCCCACCUGCUUGGGAGGCUGAGGCAGGAGGAUUGCUUGAGGCCAGGAGGCGGAGCCUGCAGUGAGCUGUGGUCACACCACUGCACUCCAGCCUGGGUGACAGAGGAAGACCCUGUCUCAAAACAAACCAAAAAUGGUUCCUCGACUUCAGUUAGGAUUUGAAAAGCUUAGAACUGGAAGGCAGCCUCUGAAAUUAUCAAGAAUGUCACAGCAGUUUGUGGAACACCCCUGGGUGGGUAGACCCACCUUUUAGACACUCUCUAGCCCAAAUCCGAUCACAGUCAUUCUUCCUCCCCUCUUAGGGUCUCCCUCACAGAAGGUGUUGGGGGCCUUGGACCAGAUGUUGAUGGGAUGGGAAUAAACAGGGGCAAAUUAUGUGCAGGCGAAGUUGGAGUUCCUGCUCUGUCCGGGAGCAGAAUUGAUUUAUGAAUUACUUUCUCUCUCUCUUUGUAUCUAUCUCUUUUUGCUCCCUCUCUUUCUCUCUCCCCCCAGCCACCUUCUGAUCUCUAAUCCAUUCAUGUGAGAGAAGAGUGAUGUGAAAAUGGUCAGCAAUUUGCUUUUUCUGAUGAGAUCCUGGUGAGAGUCAUGUUCAAUAAAGUAUUUAGUCACGUGGGGCUCCAGUGAUUUCUCUGUUUGCAAGCUCAUUCCUUCCUCAUUUCUCAGAACUUUGGUGUUAACAGCCCGUUUCCUAUUUGUAGGGGCUGACUUUGACUUAGCAGAUGCCUUUCGUGAUGGAGGAAAUAACGACCCAGCACCUCCUAAUUGACCCAAGCUGAAGCCAAAUGCGAACCCUGAGCAGCCUGGAUUCAUCGGGGAUGACUUUGACUUAGCAGAUGCCUUACAUGACAAAGGAAACUAUGAGCCAGCACCACUGAACCCAGCCAAACCAAAGCCAAAUCCAAACCCCAAGCAGCCUGAUUCCACCGGGGAUGACUUUGAUUUCACAGAUGUUUCUUCAUGGUGAAUGAAACAGUGAGUAACUCUUUAAAGUCUCCUCUGUUGCCGAAUUGCUUAUAGUUUGUUUGUGUUUUUGGAGUGCUGUAGGAAGAGCAGUGAUGAAGGUUUGAGGCUUCUAGAUGCUUCCAUACUAGUUGCCUGGGGCUCAGGCAGGGGCACACAUGUGGACCCCUGGGGGGACAUGACAGUUGAGCUAACAGCUGAGGAAUGAGGAUGACAUAUCCCAAGGAGCGGGUCAAAGGGUGUUUUGUGUAGCAAGGGUGGCAUGUGCAAAGGGCCUGUGGUCAGUGGAACUGAGGGUGCCUGUGGGGCUCAGUGAGGGGGAAAAGAGGAAGUCAGGCAUGGCAUGGGAUGGAGGGGAACAGAGUGAGGCUACAGUCAGUGCCCAGUCUUGAAAAUGUCCCUUCGAGUGUCCCUAGGGGCCAUCCUUGUUUUCAGUGCUUAUUACCCCUGCUCCCCUCUGCUUGCUUCCAGAGAGCUCUCUCCUACCUCCCAGCUCUGCGUCUCAGAUCCUGGCUCUGAUCCCACGCUGCUGUUGCUUACACUCAUGUACCCAUUGCUAAUGUCAUCAUUCCCUUCGGCAGCUAAGUGCAAAGUUAAUUUCCCAUUUGAAAAGCAGUCUGUACUAAUAACAAUCAACUGGGAGACCCAAAAGAGUGCAGUUAAAGAGAAAAAAAAAAAAUCAAACUUUCCCUCAAAAAGAAACCAGUGAUACCAUUUGGGUCCACCUCCCUGAGGUUUGAAAGCCUCUCCGUUAGUGUUAGUUGCUUUUAGGCCUCUUCUUGCUGCAUUAUUAGCAAGGUGUGUCUUUCUCUUUAUAUGCAGACAGUGCCCUCUUCUGGUGGGAGGCUCUCAGUGUCUGUCUACAAAUCCAUGACCCAAGAGGUAGAGGGGUCCCAACGGUCCCACUUACUUCUGCCAAAGUGGUGCCCUUGGGAAUCACCAACUUCCUGUGCCCACCUGUUCUAGCUACUUGGUUCACUUUGACCCAGCUCUUCAGGGGUGACACCCUCCCUCAUCAGGCUCCCAGAUCCCAGCAGGUGUUGAAACCCCAUGUGAUAGGUGAAAUGCUGGUCCCCAGAGAUGCCCACAUCCUAGCCCCUUGAUCAUGUAAAUGUGUGACCUUAUGGGACACAUGGGACUUUGCAAAUGGGAUUACAUUAAGGAUCUUGACAUGGGACGAUUAUUUAGGAUGAGCUGUGUAAUUACAAUGGAAUCACAGGUUACUUAGAGAGGCCUGCAUCAGAGGAUGAAGGAGUUGUUCACAUGUGGAAAGAGACAGAAAUAAAAGUGGAGAGGACCACUGAAAAAAAAAGUCGUUGAAAGACUUUGGCACCCAGGUUGCCAUUGCUGCCCCCAGCCCUUCAAAUUCUCAUAGAGCCCCAAAUGAUCUUUCCCUGGAAGAUGCACCAGCCCAUUGGAUAGCUUAGAUGCAGCUGUUGGAGGGUGGAUCUAGCCUGUGAGGACCCAGUAACCUGGACCCAAUACAUGACAACAAGGAUUGAAUGAGUGGUCGUUUACUGCUGAGUAAUUGCUGGUUUUCCUGGCUACCUGGGCCCUGGCUCACAUGGAUGAGAGGGCUGGAAAAAAUGAUUAUCAGCACAGAGUCCCAGAAUCUCUGUGACUUCUGGUUACAGCGAUUUUGAGUGUAUGUAUAGAAAAAAGCAGUUGUUCCUACACAUUCAGUGUCAGAAGUGAAGGAUGAGAGGGGAGAGGGGUGUGCAUGUCAAAGGAAAAAACAGCUUUUCCCCCCUGUACAUGAGGUCACAGCAAAUUUGCAAGAUUCAGUGCAUGGUGAGAGAAGCAGGCAGCCGCUGACAUCCAGGGGCUGGCCUGGCUCCCGCUACCUGGCUUGGGGUUUCCUGUUGGACCUAAGAAAUGUCACAGACAGGACAUUUUUAAAGUCAAUAAGAAAUGUCAGACAAGAGCACUGUGAUGAAGUCAAGAGACCGUGGGUUGUGCUUUGGCUGGUUCUUGAUUUAUUUCUGCUCAAGGCAAUCAGUAUGCCAAGGUGGCAUAUUUCAGGGUGUCACAUAAUGAUAUACAUUCUUAUUCAGGGUGGGGUGUCCUGUACCCCAUCAACUGGAAGGUUGUAGCGCUUCCUGCUUUCUAGACAUGGUAAAUGAACUCCCUGGGUCACUGGGAAAGUUAUAGCACUUCCUGCUUCCUGGAGAUGGUAAAUAAACUUCCUGUGUCACAUGGGAGGUUGUAGCACUUCCUGCUGCCCAGAGAUGGUCAAUGAACUUCCUGAGUCACUGGGAAGGUUGUAGUACUUCCUGCUUCCUGGAGAUGAUAAAUAAACGUCCUGGGUCACUGAGGAGGUUGUAGCACUUCCUGCUUUCCUAGAGAUGGUCAGUGAACAUCCUGGGUCACUGAGGAGGUUGUAGCACUUCCUGCUUCCUAGAGAUGGUCAAUGAACUUCCUGGAGAUGUUAAAUAAACUUCCUGGGUCACUA